rnacentral:rRNA from 1 species
UACGGGGGGGGCAAGCGUUGUUCGGAAUUACUGGGCGUAAAGCGCGUGUAGGCGGCUCUUCAAGUCGAGUGUGAAAGCUCCAGGCUUAACCUGGGAGUUGCGCUCGAUACUGUUGAGCUAGAGUGUGGAAGGGGCUACUGGAAUUCCGUGUGUAGCGGUGAAAUGCGUAGAUAUCAAGUGGAACACCAGUGGCGAAGGCGAGUCUCUGGACAUUUCCUGACGCUGAGGCACGAAAGCCAGGGGAGCAAACGGG